GGGGUCGUAGGGUAGCCUGGACCAUCCUAGGGCGUUCGGGACGCUCUGACCUGAGUUCAAAUCUCAGCGACCCCA
rnacentral:tRNA from 1 species